UUAGAGUUUGAUCCUGGCUCAGGACGAACGCUGGCGGCGUGCUUAACACAUGCAAGUCGAACGGGGUGUUUAUUUCGGUAAACAUCAAGUGGCGAACGGGUGAGUAACGCGUAAGCAAUCUACCUUCAAGAUGGGGACAACACUUCGAAAGGGGUGCUAAUACCGAAUGAAUGUAAGAGUAUCGCAUGAGACACUUACUAAAGGAGGCCUCUGAAAAUGCUUCCGCUUGAAGAUGAGCUUGCGUCUGAUUAGCUAGUUGGUGAGGGUAAAGGCCCACCAAGGCGACGAUCAGUAGCCGGUCUGAGAGGAUGAACGGCCACAUUGGGACUGAGACACGGCCCAGACUCCUACGGGAGGCAGCAGUGGGGAAUCUUCCGCAAUGGGCGAAAGCCUGACGGAGCAACGCCGCGUGAACGAUGAAGGUCUUAGGAUCGUAAAGUUCUGUUGUUAGGGACGAAGGGCAAGGGUUAUAAUACAGCCUUUGUUUGACGGUACCUAACGAGGAAGCCACGGCUAACUACGUGCCAGCAGCCGCGGUAAUACGUAGGCGGCAAGCGUUGUCCGGAAUUAUUGGGCGUAAAGGGAGCGCAGGCGGGAAACUAAGCGGAUCUUAAAAGUGCGGGGCUCAACCCCGUGAUGGGGUCCGAACUGGUUUUCUUGAGUGCAGGAGAGGAAAGCGGAAUUCCCAGUGUAGCGGUGAAAUGCGUAGAUAUUGGGAAGAACACCAGUGGCGAAGGCGGCUUUCUGGACUGUAACUGACGCUGAGGCUCGAAAGCUAGGGUAGCGAACGGGAUUAGAUACCCCGGUAGUCCUAGCCGUAAACGAUGGAUACUAGGUGUGGGAGGUAUCGACCCCUUCCGUGCCGGAGUUAACGCAAUAAGUAUCCCGCCUGGGGAGUACGGCCGCAAGGUUGAA
rnacentral:rRNA from 1 species